rfam:Siansivirga zeaxanthinifaciens CC-SAMT-1, complete genome.
UAAAAGUGGAGAACAGAAACCAUUAAAAAAAACGUGGCGUAACCGAAAAGCCAUAUGAGUAGGAUAAAU